UACAGAGGUCUCAAGCGUUGUUCGGAUUCAUUGGGCGUAAAGCGCACGUAGGCGGACUCUUAAGUCGGUGGUGAAAUCCUGGAGCUCAACUCCAGAACUGCCUUUGAUACUGAAGAUCUUGAGUUCGGGGAGAGGUGAGUGGAACUGCGAGUGUAGAGGUGAAAUUCGUAGAUAUUCGCAAGAACACCAGUGGCGAAGGCGGCUCACUGGCCCGAUACUGACGCUGAGGCACGAAAGCGUGGGGAGCCGAACGGG
rnacentral:rRNA from 1 species